rnacentral:rRNA from 1 species
AGUGAACGCUGGCGGUAGGCCUAGCACAUGCAAGUCGAACGGCCGCACAGUAAGAGCUUGCUCUUACGGGUGGCGAGUGGCGGACGGGUGAGGAAUACAUCGGAAUCUACUUUUUCGUGGGGGAUAACGUAGGGAAACUUACGCUAAUACCGCAUACGACCUACGGGUGAAAGCAGGGGAUCUUCGGACCUUGCGCGAUUGUAUGAGCCGAUGUCGGAUUAGCUAGUUGGCGGGGUAAAGGCCCACCAAGGCGACGAUCCGUAGCUGGUCUGAGAGGAUGAUCAGCCACACUGGAACUGAGACACGGUCCAGACUCCUACGGGAGGCAGCAGUGGGGAAUAUUGGGCAAUGGGCGCAAGCCUGAUCCAGCCAUGCCGCGUGGGUGAAGAAGGCCUUCGGGUUGUAAAGCCCUUUUGUUGGGAAAGAAAAGCAGCAGGUUAAUACCCCGCUGUUCUGACGGUACCCAAAGAAUAAGCACCGGCUAACUUCGUG